rnacentral:lncRNA from 1 species
CACGUCUGUAGCGGGCAGAGUGCGUGCCCGGGCGACAUGCUGACCUGGACCCGGGCUGACGGAGCGCAGGUCUUCCCUCCUGCAGCCCGUGAGAAGCUUUUGCAGACCUUCCGACACUGGGAGCGAGAACCAACUCUGGCUCCGUGAGCUCCUCCAACAGGUGCUGGGGAUGGAACUACCUCUGGCUCUGCUUUUUGCUGUUGUUCCUGUUCUCAAGGAGAAAAGCGUCGAGUCUCCCCCACCAACUAGGACACUAGCAGCAGUUUCUUCCAGGUGCUCAUUAUCAGCUCAAUGUCAGCCUGUGAGCAAUUUUACCGCUCAGAUCUGUGAGGAUAACGAGGUCUCCUUGGGGUUGGUGGAGCAGCUCUUACUGGGGAGCCAGAAGAAGUACGUGGAUCUGGACUGCAGCCCAGGAGCACUUGCUGGGGCAGCUUGGGAGAUGUCACCAGUAGUGACGGGAAGGACCCCUGGCUCUGUCCCAAAAGUCAAAGUGACUGUGAAGGGAGACGUCGUGAUGGAUUCAGGAUUGAGGCUGCCACACAGCACAACUAAAGACCCUCAGAAAAGAGGACUCCAGAGCUGCUGCAGGAAGUGGCCAGGACCAUGGGAUGAGUGCGCUGGAACUGAGGGGGAGGACUUUAAAGGGGAUUCAUGGCAAAGUGUCCUUUCCUGGAAUAAUUUUUAAAUUUUAAAAGAUGCAAUCAUUCAUAGUAGUUUUUGAUCAGAUCUUGUGAUUGCAGUAAGUCAGGCAGCCAGCUUUCCACUCUUCCCUUCCCUUCCUUCCUUUUUCAUCCUUUCUGUUCCUUCUUCAUGCUGCUAUUUCUGCUCUUGUAACUGCUUCUUCUCACAUAGUUAUUAUGAGACUCAGUAACUUUUAAGAGAAUAUUUUAAAUUUCA